CUGACAGUUUGGCUUCCCUGUUCCAGGUGGCAAAGCCUGUGGGGUAUUCACCUACCUGCUGCAUGAAGGCAGCAUGGAGGGACUGUGGUGGAUUAUCUGCAAAGAUGGCCCAAAUUCUCUCAUCCCUGCAGGUACAUACAAGAGGAGAACUGAAGCUCAGCUAUUCACCCUACAGAAAGCCUGAAUUUUGUAAAUGUUCUGCUUAGAAUGAGGAAGAAAGAUGAAGAAUGAGGAGGAAGAAGGGAGGAACAAGAGAGAGAGGUAAAGCCAACAAGCAGAACAGACCUACAUUUGCAGCAUCUCCAAGUUUCUGCAACAGCUUUAUGUUGUUGUUAUGUUUUGUUUUAAUAAAAGCACAUACCAUUUUUUUCGUUACUGUUA
rnacentral:lncRNA from 1 species